rnacentral:rRNA from 1 species
UACGGGGGGGGCAAGCGUUGUUCGGAAUUACUGGGCGUAAAGGGCUCGUAGGCGGCCAACUAAGUCGGAUGUGAAAUCCCCAGGCUUAACCUGGGAACUGCAUCCGAUACUGGAUGGCUUGAAUCCGGGAGAGGGAUGCAGAAUUCCUGGUGUAGCGGUGAAAUGCGCAGAUAUCAGGAGGAACACCGGUGGCGAAGGCGGGUCUCUGGGCCGAUACUGACGCUGAGGAGCGAAAGCGUGGGGAGCGAACAGG